AACGAACGCUGGCGGCAUGCCUAACACAUGCAAGUCGAACGAGACCUUCGGGUCUAGUGGCGCACGGGUGCGUAACGCGUGGGAACCUGCCCUUAGGUUCGGAAUAACUCCCCGAAAGGGGUGCUAAUACCGGAUAAUGUCUUCGGACCAAAGAUUUAUCGCCUUUGGAUGGGCCCGCGUUGGAUUAGCUAGUUGGUAGGGUAAAAGCAUACCAAGGCGACGAUCCAUAGCUGGUCUGAUAGGAUGAUCAGCCACACUGGGACUGAGACACGGACCAGACUCCUACGGGAGGCAGCAGUGGGGAAUAUUGGACAAUGGGCGAAAGCCUGAUACAGCAAUGCCGCGUGAGUGAUGAAGGCCUUAGGGUUGUAAAGCUCUUUUACCCGGGAUGAUAAUGACAGUACCGGGAGAAUAAGCUCCGGCUAACUCCGUG
rnacentral:rRNA from 1 species